GGUCUGCUGCUGUGCCGAACAACGUCCCUGAUGCCUCGCCUGGCCUACCCUCUCAGUCAAAGGCGCCGCAUCCUCUUCGUAACUUCAACACAGCCGCCAUAGCGAGCCACAAAAUGGAGGAAACGCAACUUCCGCACCCCAGCAAGCCAGUGAGGGUUGCUGUUGAAUAUGUGGCUAUCAGUCCUCACGUCACCAGCACGUGAGCUGCUAUCACAGACAUCACUCUGGAGGCUGACUUGUCAGAGGAGAAGAUGGUGACCCAGGCUGGGAAAACAGGAGGCUGUGAUCUGGGGUGCAGGAGUCCAGGAACUGGUGGGCAGCAUCUCCAGCGCCAUCAUGGGCUAAGUCUGCUCCCAAUGAAUCCAGCGAGCUCCAGGGAGUAUAAGGCAAGUAGACGCCAGCUGGAGCCCACAUACCACUCUCAGAAGCUGCCAGUGUGCAGAGCUCAUUUUCAGGAGGUGGCUGGGCUGUGCCUCCUCCCAUCUGUGACCUCACCUGCAGAGCUCCGCUGAAUCCCAGCCAGAGAAGAUCCUCUUGACCCCAGAUCCCCAGAGCCCAAAACACUCCAGCUCAAAGCAGUCUGGGGGAAAGGCAUUAAAAUGGAAAUUGCUACCACAA